AUCCAGCUGACGAGUCUCAAAUAGGACGAGACAAGCAUCAAACUGGAU
rnacentral:hammerhead_ribozyme from 1 species